rnacentral:rRNA from 1 species
GCCUGCCCUGUGACUAUAUGUUUAACGGCCGCGGUAUUUUGACCGUGCGAAGGUAGCGCAAUCACUUGUCUUUUAAAUGGGGACCUGUAUGAAUGGCAUAACGAGGGCUUAACUGUCUCCUCUUUCAAGUCAAUGAAAUUGAUCUCCCCGUGCAGAAGCGAGGAUAAAUACAUAAGACGAGAAGACCCUAUGGAGCUUUAGACACUAAAGCAGAUCAGUAUUAAUACCCUGAACAUAGGCUACGAAUAAACUGACCCCUGCCCUAAUGUCUUUGGUUGGGGCGACCGCGGAGAAAAAUAAAACCCCCGCAAGGAUUAAAUGUACUACAUUCACAAACAAGAGCGACAGCUCUAACUAACAGAACUUCUGACCAAUAAGAUCCGGCAAUGCCGAUCAAUGAACCGAGUUACCCUAGGGAUAACAGCGCAAUCUCCUCUUAGAGCCCAUAUCGACGAGGAGGUUUACGACCUCGAUGUUGGAUCAGGACAUCCUAAUGGUGCAGCCGCUAUUAAGGGUUCGUUUGUUCAACGAUUAAAGUCCUACGUGA